GAUGAACGCUGGCGGCGUGCCUAAUACAUGUAAGUCGAGCGAACAGAUAAGGAGCUUGCUCCUUUGACGUUAGCGGCGGACGGGUGAGUAACACGUGGGUAACCUACCUAUAAGACUGGAAUAACUCCGGGAAACCGGGGCUAAUGCCGGAUAACAUUUAGAACCGCAUGGUUCUAAAGUGAAAGAUGGUUUUGCUAUCACUUAUAGAUGGACCCGCGCCGUAUUAGCUAGUUGGUACGGUAACGGCUUACCACGGCAACGAUACGUAGCCGACCGGAGAGGGUGAUCGGCCACACUGGAGCUGGGACACGGUCCAGACUCCUACGGGAGGCAGCAGUAGGGAAUCUUCCGCAAUGGGCGAAAGCCUGACGGAGCAACGCCGCGUGAGUGAUGAAGGUCUUCGGAUCGUAAAACUCUGUUAUUAGGGAAGAACAAAUGUGUAAGUAACUGUGCACGUCUUGACGGUACCUAAUCAGAAAGCCACGGCUAACUACGUG
rnacentral:rRNA from 1 species